AUACGUAGGGGGCAAGCGUUGUCCGGAAUGAUUGGGCGUAAAGGGCGCGUAGGCGGCCUGUUAAGUCUGGAGUGAAAGUCCUGCUUUCAAGGUGGGAAGUGCUUUGGAAACUGGCGGGCUGGAGUGCAGGAGAGGUUAGCGGAAUUCCCGGUGUAGCGGUGAAAUGCGUAGAGAUCGGGAGGAACACCAGCGGCGAAGGCGGCUAACUGGACUGUAACUGACGCUGAGGCGCGAAAGUGU
rnacentral:rRNA from 1 species